UCCUUCUUCUACUCCCACUACCUUCGACCUGAAACCACCAUAUAGUUCUUUUCCUUUCCCGUGGUCAGAAAAUCCUUAACCUACUUCAAUGCUUCAUCUUCUACUCCAUUGUUCCAAUCCUACAAAAGAAUCAUUCCCACUUUGUUGUCAAUUUUUCAUUUUUAAACCCUAACUGGUGUUCACCCUAAAAACCAUCAAAAUUGAACCAAUCGUUUCGAGUUUCCUCAUCUCUUCUUCAUUUUCUUCUUGAGAUUAUAUUACGAAUCCUAGAUACUAAAAUUUCAUAUGGGUAAAGGAUUCCGAAAACUCUAGAUUGUUCCAUUUUUAUGUUUGGCAAUUUAAUUUGAUGAUUUUUAAGUUAUUUUGAAUUUAAUCGGUAUUAGUUUAAUUUUCUCAAUAAAGAUUGGUGGGAUUUGGUAAUUGCUGGAUUUGAUUUUAAAGGCAGAAGAGAAGAAGGUCGAUGGUGUUGGUUCUUCUUAAAUUUCUUCAGAAAAAUAUGAAGAACAUCGUAAAGAUUAGGGGGAUGAGUUUUCUAGAGAAAUUACAGGAUCAAACAAUUCAUAUUCAUAGACUUUUGUUGCUUACUAGCAAGCUAUUUCCUAGCAUUCUGCAUAUGCAAUAUCAUGGGUGAGAGAUACACUCCUUGUUUUUUGUCUCUAUUGAAUUAAAAACAUAUAUAAAUGGAAUUAGCAGUCACUCAAAUCGAUUGAGCUGCCUUGCGAUAGGUUGUGAAGCCGAAACAGUCAGACUGACAAGGUACAAAUGCUGUUCUUUUAUUAAGUCCAAUUACUCCAAGGGUCUCAGAUACAAAAAUUUUGAUGCCUCCAAUAAUCUUCAUCUACACUUAUGUAUGAUCUUGAGCUGGUAGGAGAAUCGUGAUACAGGCAUACCCCUGCUUCUGAAUGUCUGUUUGCAUCAAAGUUGUUAGGAGAACAUUUAGGGGGUCAGAAGUAAGGUCAAUCAGUUUUGUGUCAAAGAAGUACUUUGCUACAGUAGAUCAUACCUACAUAACUCAAGAGUGUGGAUCCAGUCUAGAUGACAGGGACAAUCAGUUGUUGCUUAUAUCAGUUGGUGGAAAGCGGGUGUUAACUUCCUGGCUUCUUUAGAAUAGGUCUACAGACAAGGAAAAAACACUUGUCAAUGAGCUAAGCUACUAGUGGAAGUUUAAAAUAGAUCUAAACUGCAGUCAGAAAUACUCUCUUCAAUGUCCUUCCAGUGGCUGUCCACCAACAUGCCAUCAAGGUUUUUCAUCUUUUGACAAUUAUAUACUUGUGAUCCUUUUGUACAUAUCCAAGAGUACGUGCACCUAGUGCAUCUGUUGCAACAAACAUAUACUUCAGCCGUGUUCAACUUGCAACUCUCUCGUGUGAUACAUUAAUUCCCCCUUUCAAAAAAUAUAUAUGCCUCUCAAAGUAAAUAAAGUGGUUCUUCAGUCUUACACUUCAUUCAGAAGAAGGAAUCAGAAAUUCCUUAGACUGCUGGCCGAGUGUCGGACAAGUCUUGAGGGUAUGCUUUGGGGGACAAAAGAAUUAUUGUUGCAUGCAAAUAAAUUGCUGGUUCUUCUCUAGCUACUGAUGGUCCCGUUCAAGUUCAGGUAUGCCAGUUACCAUGUGAGCAGAUACAGCAUACCAAAGUUUGCUAACAAUUACAAAGUGUAUGUUGUAGACUUAUCGGGAUUUGGCUGGAGUGACAUCAUGAAGUGGUAUAGAAAGGGUUGAAUGCAUUUUACUGAUUACGGCUACUUCCAUGGUAAGCUCAGGUGGCAGAUAAGGUGGCUGAUCUUUAUCUUUUUAUGCUAAAAUGCGAAGUGAAGAUUUCAUCUAUUCCCCUUUAUAUCCUCGAUUCAAGGUUAAAGACAAAAGGGAUGUCUGUCUUAUUAGUACUUCUUAAAGUUCUGGGGAAAAGGUUAAUCUUGUUUUCAGUGCAUAUUCACACCUGAAACUGUUCUAAUUCUAGUACCGUAUGUCAAGUCAUGUUUUUGUUUUGUUUCAUGUCGAAUUGACGAUUAUGUAAUUUGACAGCUUAAUAAUUUAUAUUUGAAUCUUCUGGAUGUA